rnacentral:rRNA from 1 species
UACGUAGGGUGCGAGCGUUAAUCGGAAUUACUGGGCGUAAAGCGUGCGCAGGCGGUUUUGUAAGCCAGAUGUGAAAUCCCCGGGCUCAACCUGGGAAUGGCAUUUGGGACUGCAAGGCUGGAGUUUGGCAGAGGAGACUGGAAUUCCCGGUGUAGCAGUGAAAUGCGUAGAUAUCGUAAGGAAGACCAGUGGCGAAGGCGAGUCUCUGGACAGUUACUGACACUGAGGCACGAAGGCCAGGGGAGCAAACGGG